GAUUGAACGCUGGCGGCAGGCCUAACACAUGCAAGUCGAGCGGAUGAAGAGAGCUUGCUCUCUGAUUCAGCGGCGGACGGGUGAGUAAUGCCUAGGAAUCUGCCUAUUAGUGGGGGACAACGUUUCGAAAGGAACGCUAAUACCGCAUACGUCCUACGGGAGAAAGCAGGGGACCUUCGGGCCUUGCGCUAAUAGAUGAGCCUAGGUCGGAUUAGCUAGUUGGUGAGGUAAAGGCUCACCAAGGCGACGAUCCGUAACUGGUCUGAGAGGAUGAUCAGUCACACUGGAACUGAGACACGGUCCAGACUCCUACGGGAGGCAGCAGUGGGGAAUAUUGGACAAUGGGCGAAAGCCUGAUCCAGCCAUGCCGCGUGUGUGAAGAAGGUCUUCGGAUUGUAAAGCACUUUAAGUUGGGAGGAAGGGCAGUAAGUUAAUACCUUGCUGUUUUGACGUUACCGACAGAAUAAGCACCGGCUAACUUCGUGCCAGCAGCCGCGGUAAUACGAAGGGUGCAAGCGUUAAUCGGAAUUACUGGGCGUAAAGCGCGCGUAGGUGGUUCGUUAAGUUGGAUGUGAAAGCCCCGGGCUCAACCUGGGAACUGCAUCCAAAACUGGCGAGCUAGAGUAUGGCAGAGGGUGGUGGAAUUUCCUGUGUAGCGGUGAAAUGCGUAGAUAUAGGAAGGAACACCAGUGGCGAAGGC
rnacentral:rRNA from 1 species